UUCUUUUACCAGCUUUAUUCUGGUAUUAGGCCUUGUCAGUGCAUUAUGCUCGUCCGCCUGAGUCAAAGUAGGCAGCAAGCAUUUUCUGCUUCUGCUAGUGUUGGUGCUUUUAGCUGUCGUCAAACGUUGUUGCUGUUGCUGGUCAUUGUUUUGCUGUAUGCCGUUUUUAGUUUCGGCAUAAGUCAAUGUGUUUGUUUUUGUUUUGGUAUUUGCGUAGGUCAGGGUAGCUUCGUUUGGUUUGCUGUUCGUGUUUGUGUUUUGUUUCGGCGGGAGAGAGCAAGCAUCUCUCUUUUUGUCAUAAGUGCGUGUGUGCAUGUUUGGCGGCAGACGCUUUGGGGCUUGAAGUGACGCGCCUUCGUUUUGUUUUUGCGCCGAGGGUUCGGAUGCUGAGAGAGCGCAAGCGUCGCUCUCUAUGAUGCUUGUUUGCGCACACUCGCCCGCCAGAUUUGCUACAGACGGAGUUUAUUUCCAGCUUUUCUUAUUACCUAGGACAUGGCAAUUUACAUUUAAGCUUAACUCACAACAAUAAUGCGAUUUUAAAAUUGGCGGGCUGUUAACAUUAACAUUACAUUGACAUUAGCAUUACAUUAACAUUAACAUUAUAGCAUGAAACUAAUGGUCUGGCAGCCCUUAUGUGUCAAUCACAGGAUUAACGUACAUAAAUCAGCAAGUGGUCACAAACAGAUAUGUACUGGAUCAUCGUCGUCGUCUGGAUCAGUGUGUUUGGCACGGUGCGCAACCGUACGGCGCUGGAUGAGCGCGUGUGUAAGGUGCGGCAGGAGACGUGGACAAUGCACUAUUAUGUGGAACAUAGCGCCAUUCCAUGGCUGCCGUCAACUCCUGAAUUGAUGCCACUCGAUUUGCCACGAAAACUUGAAA